rnacentral:rRNA from 1 species
UGCGCAGGCGGACUAUUAAGUCAGUGGUGAAAUCUCUCGGCUCAACCGAGAAACUGCCAUUGAAACUGAUAGCCUUGAGUAUGGUUGUGGUAGGCGGAAUAUAGCAUGUAGCGGUGAAAUGCUUAGAUAUGCUAUAGAACACCGAUCGCGAAGGCAGCUUACUAAACUAUCACUGACGCUCAUGCACGAAAGCGUGGGGAGCAAACAGGAUUAGAUACCCUGGUAGUCC